UACAGAGGUGGCAAGCGUUGUUCGGAAUUACUGGGCGUAAAGGGCGCGUAGGCGGCCAUCUAAGUCAGACGUGAAAUCCCCCGGCUUAACCUGGGAACUGCGUCUGAUGCUGGACGGCUGGAGUUUGGGAGAGGGAUGUAGAAUUCCAGGUGCAGCGGUGAAAUGCGUAGAUAUCUGGAGGAAUACCGGUGGCGAAGGCGGCAUCCUGGACCAAUACUGACGCUGAGGCGCGAAAGCUAGGGGAGCAAACGGG
rnacentral:rRNA from 1 species